rnacentral:rRNA from 1 species
AGUGAACGCUGGCGGUAGGCCUAACACAUGCAAGUCGAACGGCAGCACAGUAAGAGCUUGCUCUUACGGGUGGCGAGUGGCGGACGGGUGAGGAAUACAUCGGAAUCUACAUUUUCGUGGGGGAUAACGUAGGGAAACUUACGCUAAUACCGCAUACGACCUACGGGUGAAAGCAGGGGAUCUUCGGACCUUGCGCGAUUGAAUGAGCCGAUGUCGGAUUAGCUAGUUGGCGGGGUAAAGGCCCACCAAGGCGACGAUCCGUAGCUGGUCUGAGAGGAUGAUCAGCCACACUGGAACUGAGACACGGUCCAGACUCCUACGGGAGGCAGCAGUGGGGAAUAUUGGACAAUGGGCGCAAGCCUGAUCCAGCCAUACCGCGUGGGUGAAGAAGGCCUUCGGGUUGUAAAGCCCUUUUGUUGGGAAAGAAAAGCAGCAGGUUAAUACCCCGCUGUUCUGACGGUACCAAAAGAAUAAGCACCGGCUAACUUCGUG